rnacentral:lncRNA from 1 species
GGUUGCCACCAAUCACCCCCGAAGCCCUGUUUCCCUCGCUCACCGGUGAGCUCUCCAUUUUCAUCCAUCUCCGGCCGGCCACUUUGGUCGUCGCGGUCGUCCUCUCCAUCCCUAACUCCUCUCCUCCCCUUCUCUAGGUGUCGCCACUGCCCGUCCGCGCCUCGGCAUCGCCGGUCGUCGCCGCCACCCUCGUUUUCUGCACCGGUCGCCGCCACCCCCUCCGGUGAGGACUCCCUCCCCCUCCCUUUUCUCCCCUUCCCGCGUGCGCCGCCGCCCUUGGCUGUGCCGCCACUCCGGCCGUCCGCCGCCGCCUUUCGCGCUGUCUGCCGCCGCCUCGCUCCGCCGGUCGCCGCCGUCGGCGGCCAUGCACCGCCGCCGCUUGCCAUGGCCGGCCAGCAGGCUUUGUGCCGAGCCGUGCCGUGCCUCGCCGCCGCCGCACCGUCCUAUCGGCCUCGGGGCUGAUCUGGACCGUCGGUCCCGUGGACCGGGGGUGGACCACCCGUGUGGUCCCGGUCCACGGUGGACCGGCGCCCUUUGUGCCUUUGACCCGUGGGGCCCACCUGUCGGCGCCCCCGCCCCUUGGAUAAUGUCAGCCCUGGGUAUUAUUGCGCAAUAAAUCGAAUAAGGAUUUUUUUAUUAGUAAAAACACAUAUUAUCUUCUAAAAUUUAUAUCUAAUUCAUCCGAGCUCCACUUAAGUCCAUUCAAGUCUCAGUAGAUCAAGAAAAAUGCAAAGAAUCCAUUAAAAAUGGUUUUGUAUUCUGUUUCAGUAGUCUUAUAGCAUGUUUUGCUUGUGUGCUUUGUUUGUCGCGUAGAUUUCGGCAGUUUUGUCGAUCUGCGGUUUCUCGAAGACGUUGCUGUGGUCUCAUCAGUGCGAGAGCAAGGCAAGUCAUGCAUUACAAUUAAUCAUAUUGUACCCAAUUUACAAAUAUCCCGCAUUUCUAUUAAAUUUUGUAUUCUUUUACAAUGUCAUGUGGGAUGGGUCCUACUACUCAGCCAUAUAUUGUUUACCUUAUGCCAUUGAUAACUUGGGCAUCAAAAUGAUUAGAUGUUGGUUUAGGAAAUACUUAGCCAUGCUUAGUUCAACUAGUACAUAAAUAGGGAUCACAUUAUUACAUAGACUUUGACUAUUAGCAUAGCUUCGGAUUGGUGCCACCGCAAGGGUGUUAGUUAAUUAAAGGGGCAAUUGUGUUCUUGCCCCUACUUUGCAGUUCAAUUGUGAUUUUACCCCUGUUUUUAGGGUUUGUGAUUUUGCCCCUACUUUUUUGAAAUGAAGCACCCGUUUGCCCCUUUUUUUUGACGGUAGUUUGAUGGGCCCGAAAUUUCCCAAUAAAGCGAAGAAAGAAAAUGAUAUUAUAAUUUGUGAAUGACCAUUCUACCCUUGGUUUACUAAAAGGGCUUACCAUUAACCACUUCUCUUGCUGGAACGAUUUCCCCAAAUCGAAAACCUAGCGACAAGCGGCGGCGGCGGCGGCGACGGGCGCGGCAGGGAGGCGCGGCGGCCCCGCGGGCCAGCGCGCGGCAGGGAGACGUGGCGGCCCGGUGGUCCAACUGCCAUGGGCCAGCGCGCAGGAGGGCGCAGCGCGGCGGGCGCACGCGCAGGGAUCAAGACUUUUGUAAUUCAGGGGGAGGAGGACACCUGCAGCUUCGUCUUCCUCUGUCAGUGCCUUCGCUACCGCCUCCGAUUCGCAGAGGUGAUUUGAUCGAUUCAGCUUGGAGUUGCAUUGAGCCAUUGGUUGGGGACGCUGAUUUCAUCUUCUUGAUUGCGAAUCGGGGAUGGAUGUGAAUGUGAUUUGCGGGUUUGUAGGCUAGCCGGGAAGGUCGUCGUCAUCACCGGCGGCGCCAGCGGCAUCGGCAGGGCGACGGCGGAGGAGUUUAUUGUCCCAAAUAAUGUGUUCUAAUCAUAUGACGGAGAGGGUGUACAUAUUGUCCCAAAUAAUGUGUUCUGUCAUCUUUUUUAAAUUAUGUCAAAAUUAUUGCUAAAAUUCUGUCAAAACUAUCCUAAAUAUUGUGUUCUGUCAACUUGUACAAAAUUUAUCAACAUUUAGGUCCCAUAUGAAAAAUACGCACGAAUUUAACUUGAAACAUGUCCAAUGUUCAUGCCAAAAUUAUAGUAGGGGUAUAUUUGUCCAUUCACCACAUAUUUAACACCAUUAUAAUGAGGUAACAGAGUAGGGGCAAGCGGCUGCUUCAUUUAAAAAAAGCAGGGGCAAAAUCACAAACCCUAAAAAGUAGGGGUAAAAUCACAAUUGAACUGUAAAGCAAGGGUAAGAACACAAUUGCCCCUUGAUUAAAAUAUACUGAAUGGUGGGCUGUGGGUGCAUGGUUUUGAUGGUCGCACCCAUUGCAAUUAAGGACCGGUUCACGGGAAACCCUGGGAGACUUACCGUGCUUACCACAAGCGGGAGUGGGUAACUACUUGAUCUGAAGUAUAGCUCGACCCUUUCCUAGGCACCGGUGGCGAGCGUGGGCGUGAUGGAGUUGGGUCAGCCGGGGUGUCCGGUUGUCCAGCUGCCGGAUUCACCACGGCGCACGAGGGGACUGCCCACUGCUUUUUGAGGGGUGAGGGUGAAACCUUAGCGUGGUGUGGAUGGUUAGGGGCGGGUUAUGCGAAGGGUCUUGUCACGAAUUCCCCCUUUGCAGUGCCAUGGUGGUACUUCGGGGCAUGGCGACAUGUGUGGAAUCGUGUCUUGUGGGUACAGUUGUGCACCUCUGGCCAGAGUAAAACUAUUCGAAUAGCCGUGCCCACGGUUAUGGGCGAUCAACCAGAUUCACCGUGAUUAGUCUCACCCCUAGUUUAGCUUAAUGAACUGGUGUAGUUCAGGUGGUUGGUUGGGCCUGUUGCAACGUGGUGUAGCGUUGGACAGUGAUUGGUUAAUAUUGCUUAAUCUACUGCAAUUGUUUUAUUGUUUUCAACUACUAUUUUUAAAUGCCUGCUUUAUGCAAAUGAACCUUUAGCCUCCUUUGGUUAUAUCCUGCAUCAUACCUCCUCUUCCGGUAUGACUUGCUGAGUACAGUGGGUAGUACUCAGUCUUGCUCUCUUUCCCCCCACACCAGAGCGGAAGUUCUUCCCAGUUGGAGCUGUCUCAAAAAGGUUGGUUUCGUCGCUACCGUCAAGGAUGCCUGUGGAGUGGAGUCGCCCCGCUGCAGAAGUCAAGUUUCCAAGUUUAGCUCGUUUUAUCUUUUCCGCUGCAUUUGUAAUCUUUUACUUUUUUGUAAGACGUGGAC